CGACCGGCGCACGGGUGAGUAACACGUAUCCAACCUGCCGAUGACUCGGGGAUAGCCUUCCGAAAGAAAGAUUAAUACCCGAUGGCAUAGUUCUUCCGCAUGGUAGAACUAUUAAAGAAUUUCGGUCAUCGAUGGAGAUGCGUUCCAUUAGCUUGUUGGCGGGGUAACGGCCCACCAAGGCAUCGAUGGAUAGGGGUUCUGAGAGGAAGGUCCCCCACAUUGGAACUGAGACACGGUCCAAACUCCUACGGAAGGCAGCAG
rnacentral:rRNA from 1 species